UACGGAGGGUGCAAGCGUUAUCCGGAUUCACUGGGUUUAAGGGGUGUGUAGGCGGAUAUUUAAGUCAGUGGUGAAAUCUCCAGGCUCAACCUGGAAACUGCCAUUGAUACUAUUUAUCUUGAAUUCUGUUGAGGUGGGCGGAAUACAUCAUGUAGCGGUGAAAUGCUUAGAUAUGAUGUAGAACACCGAUUGCGAAGGCAGCUCACUAAACAGCGAUUGACGCUGAGGCACGAAAGCGUGGGGAUCAAACAGG
rnacentral:rRNA from 1 species